GCGCCUGUAGCUCAAUUGGAUAGAGUGUCGGACUUCGAAUCCGCAGGUUGCAGGUUCGAGCCCUGCCAGGCGCA
rnacentral:tRNA from 1 species